GACGAACGCUGGCGGCGUGCCUAACACAUGCAAGUCGAACGGGACCAGGGGCAACUCUGGUUCAGUGGCGAACGGGUGCGUAACACGUGAGGAACAUGACCCUUGGCGGGGAGUAGCCGGCCCAACGGCCGGGUAAUAACCGCGUACGACCUUCCGGGGACAUCCCUCGGAUGGUGAAAGCAGCAAUGCGCCGAUGGAGUGCCUCGCGGCCUAUCAGCUAGUUGGUGAGGUAACGGCNCACCAAGGCGACGACGGGUAGCUGGUCUGAGAGGAUGGCCAGCACAUUGGGACUGAGACACGGCCCAGACUCCUACGGGAGGCAGCAGUGGGGAAUAUUGCGCAAUGGACGAAAGUCUGACGCAGCGACGCCGCGUGUGGGAUGACGGUCUUCGGA
rnacentral:rRNA from 1 species